rnacentral:rRNA from 1 species
AUACGUAGGGGGCGAGCGUUGUCCGGAAUGAUUGGGCGUAAAGGGCGCGUAGGCGGCCCGGUAAGUCUGGAGUGAAAGUCCUGUUUUUAAGAUGGGAAUUGCUUUGGAUACUGUCGGGCUUGAGUGCAGGAGAGGUAAGUGGAAUUCCCAGUGUAGCGGUGAAAUGCGUAGAGAUUGGGAGGAACACCAGUGGCGAAGGCGACUUACUGGACUGUAACUGACGCUGAGGCGCGAAAGUGUGGGGAGCAAACAGGAUUAGAUACCCUGGUAGUCCACACUGAAAACGAUGAAUGCUAGGUGUAGGGGGUAUCGACCCCUUCUGUGCCGCAGUCAACACAAUAAGCAUUCCGCCUGGGGAGUACGGCCGCAAGGUUGAAACUCAAAGGAAUUGACGGGG